rnacentral:rRNA from 1 species
GACAGAGGGGGCAAGCGUUGCUCGGAAUCACUGGGCGUAAAGGGCGCGUAGGCGGGAUGGCAAGUCAGUCGUGAAAUCUCUCGGCUCAACCGAGAAACGUCGGCUGAUACUGCCGUUCUUGAGGGAUGCAGAGGAGACUGGAAUUCCUGGUGUAGCGGUGAAAUGCGCAGAUAUCAGGAGGAACACCGGUGGCGAAGGCGGGUCUCUGGGCCGAUACUGACGCUGAGGUGCGAAAGCGUGGGGAGCAAACAGG